AACAAGAUAUAAACAGAAUUAAGCUUAUAGACUCUCCCAAAUGUCCUAAACUGUCACACUCUAUAAGGAAUUUUUUGAAGAAAAUUAAUGUUAAAGAAUGCCUUUAAUUUGUUUUCUAUCUCUUUAAAAUAAUAAUAUGAUAA